GACGAACGCUGGCGGCGUGCUUAACACAUGCAAGUCGAACGAAGUGGCGAACGGGUGAGUAACGCGUAAUCAACCUGCCCUUCAGAGGGGGACAACAGUUGGAAACGACUGCUAAUCCCGCAUACUGAAGGAGGGGAUUGCGGUGUAUUAGCUAGCUGGGGGGGUAACGGCCCACCAAGGUGAUGGUCAGUAGCCGGUCUGGAGGGGUGGACGGCCACAAUGGGACUGGGGCAAGGCCCAGACUCCGACGGGGGGCAGCAGUGGGGGAACUUCCGAAAUGGAGGGAAGUCUGACGGAGCAACGCCGCGUGAGAGAUAAAGGCCUUCGGGUUGUAAAGCUAUGUUAAUCGGGGCGCGGUACCGGAAUAGAAAGCAACGGCUAACUACGUGCCAGCAGCCGCGGUAAUUC
rnacentral:rRNA from 1 species